AUUGAACGCUGGCGGCAGGCCUAACACAUGCAAGUUGAGCGAGCGGCGGACGGGUGAGUAAUGUAUGGGGACUGCCCGAUAGAGGGGGAUAACUACUGGAAACGGUGGCUAAUACCGCAUACUAUCGGAUAACCCAUAUGGGAUUAGCGAGUAGGUGGGGUAAAGGCUCACCUAGGCGACGAUCUCUAACUGGUCUGAGAGGAUGAUCAGCAACAAUGGGACAGGGACACGGCCCAGAAGCCGACGGAAGCAGCAGUGAGGAAUAUUGCACAAGGGACGCAAUCCUGAUGCAGCCAUGACGCGUGUAUGAAGAAGGCCUUAGGGUUGUAAAGUACUUUCGGCGGGGAAGCGUUACCCGCAGAAGAAGCACCGGCUAACUCCGUGCCAGCAACCGCGGUGAUUC
rnacentral:rRNA from 1 species